rnacentral:rRNA from 1 species
GACGAACGCUGGCGGCGUGCUUAACACAUGCAAGUCGAACGGAAAGGCCCUGCUUUUGUGGGGUGCUCGAGUGGCGAACGGGUGAGUAACACGUGAGUAACCUGCCCUUGACUUUGGGAUAACUUCAGGAAACUGGGGCUAAUACCGGAUAGGAGCUCCUGCUGCAUGGUGGGGGUUGGAAAGUUUCGGCGGUUGGGGAUGGACUCGCGGCUUAUCAGCUUGUUGGUGGGGUAGUGGCUUACCAAGGCUUUGACGGGUAGCCGGCCUGAGAGGGUGACCGGCAAAAUUGGAAUGGGGAUAGGGCCCAGACGCUUACGGGAGGAAGCGGGGGGAAUAUUGCACAAUGGGCGGAAGCCUGAUGCAGCAACGCCGCGUGCGGGAUGACGGCCUUCGGGUUGUAAACCGCUUUCGCCUGUGACGAAGCGUGAGUGACGGUAAUGGGUAAAGAAGCACCGGCUAACUACGUG